GAUGUUCAUGAUGAUGCUUUCAAGCUUGUUUCGAGUUUUACAACUUUGAGAAAAGAAAACAUAACAUGCACUACCAUCUGAAACAAA
ensembl:snoRNA SNORD33 Small nucleolar RNA Z195/SNORD33/SNORD32 family